GAGAAGACGAUCCAGAUCCUGCUCGAGUAGAUACCGGUAGAGGCCAGGCGACUGCGUUGCUAUUUUAGAACCUCAGGCAUUGCUGCGAUCAUCUACAGGAUAAUCUAGUUACCCUAGAGAUAUUUUUCUAUUCCUCAUGUUUUUAGAUUUAAUUUUAGAUUUAAUAUCAGAUAAUAGGAAUUAGAUCUAAUAGAUCUUAGAUCUGAAAUAUCGUAGAAUAAUUUUUGAAAUAUUCGGUCCCAGAUCUCAUUAGAUUUGGAAGAUCCUACAAGGAAAAGGCCGAUUUUUCCUUCACCUGAUAGAUUAUCAAACAGCGUCCGCUCUUGG
rnacentral:lncRNA from 1 species